GAUGAACGCUGGCGGCGUGCCUAAUACAUGCAAGUCGAGCGAACAGACGAGGAGCUUGCUCCUCUGACGUUAGCGGCGGACGGGUGAGUAACACGUGGAUAAACUACCUAUAAGACUGGGAUAACUUCGGGAAACCGGAGCUAAUACCGGAUAAUAUAUUGAACCGCAUGGUUCAAUAGUGAAAGACGGUUUUGCUGUCACUUAUAGAUGGAUCCGCGCCGCAUUAGCUAGUUGGUAAGGUAACGGCUUACCAAGGCAACGAUGCGUAGCCGACCUGAGAGGGUGAUCGGCCACACUGGAACUGAGACACGGUCCAGACUCCUACGGGAGGCAGCAGUAGGGAAUCUUCCGCAAUGGGCGAAAGCCUGACGGAGCAACGCCGCGGGAGUGAUGAAGGUCUUCGGAUCGUAAAACUCUGUUAUUAGGGAAGAACAAAUGUGUAAGUAACUAUGCACGUCUUGACGGUACCUAAUCAGAAAGCCACGGCUAACUACGUG
rnacentral:rRNA from 1 species